UACGAAGGGGGGCUAGCGUUGCUCGGAAUCACUGGGCGUAAAGCGCACGUAGGCGGAUCUUUUAAGUCAGGGGGUGAAAUCCUGGAGCUCAACUCCAGAACUGCCUUUGAUACUGGGGGAUCUCGAGUCCGGAAGAGGUGAGUGGAACUCCGAGUGUAGAGGUGAAAUUCGUAGAUAUUCGGAAGAACACCAGUGGCGAAGGCGGCUCACUGGUCCGGUACUGACGCUGAGGUGCGAAAGCGUGGGGAGCAAACAGGG
rnacentral:rRNA from 1 species